rnacentral:rRNA from 1 species
GACGAACGCUGGCGGCGUGCUUAACACAUGCAAGUCGAACGGAAAGGCCCUGCUUUUGUGGGGUGCUCGAGUGGCGAACGGGUGAGUAACACGUGAGUAACCUGCCCUUGACUUUGGGAUAACUUCAGGAAACUGGGGCUAAUACCGGAUAGGAGCUCCUGCUGCAUGGUGGGGGUUGGAAAGUUUCGGCGGUUGGGGAUGGACUCGCGGCUUAUCAGCUUGUUGGUGGGGUAGUGGCUUACCAAGGCUUUGACGGGUAGCCGGCCUGAGAGGGUGACCGGCCAAAUUGGGACGGAGAUACGGCCCAGACCCCUACGGGAGGCAGGAGUGGGGAAUAUGGCAAAAUGGGCGGAAGCCUGAUGCAGAAACGCCGGGUGGGGGAGGACGGCCUUCGGGUUGUAAACCGCUUUCGCCUGUGACGAAGCGGGGGUGACGGUAAUGGGUAAAGAAGCACCGGCUAACUACGU